GACGAACGCUGGCGGCGUGCCUAAUACAUGCAAGUAGAACGCACAGUUUAUACCGUAGCUUGCUACACCAUAGACUGUGAGUUGCGAACGGGUGAGUAACGCGUAGGUAACCUGCCUGGUAGCGGGGGAUAACUAUUGGAAACGAUAGCUAAUACCGCAUAAUAUUGAUUAUUGCAUGAUAAUUAAUUGAACGGUGCAAUUGCACCACUACCAGAUGGACCUGCGUUGUAUUAGCUAGUAGGUGAGGUAACGGCUCACCUAGGCGACGAUACAUAGCCGACCUGAGAGGGUGAUCGGCCACACUGGGACUGAGACACGGCCCAGACUCCUACGGGAGGCAGCAGUAGGGAAUCUUCGGCAAUGGACGAAAGUCUGACCGAGCAACGCCGCGUGAGUGAAGAAGGUUUUCGGAUCGUAAAGCUCGGUUGUAAGAGAAGAACGGGUGUGAGAGUGGAAAGUUCACACUGUGACGGUAGCUUACCAGAAAGGGACGGCUAACUACGUG
rnacentral:rRNA from 1 species